rnacentral:rRNA from 1 species
UGCGCAGGCGGUUAUAUAAGACAGAUGUGAAAUCCCGGGCUCAACCUGGGAACUGCAUUUGUGACUGUAUAGCUAGAGUACGGCAGAGGGGGAGUGGAAUUCCGCGUGUAGCAGUGAAAUGCGUAGAUAUGCGGAGGAACACCGAUGGCGAAGGCAAUCCCCUGGGCCUGUACUGACGCUCAUGCACGAAAGCGUGGGGAGCAAACA